GUCCACGCCGUAAACGAUGGUCACUAGUUGUAUGGAGUUUCGACCCUCUGUGCAGCAAAGCUAACGCGUUAAGUGACCCGCCUGGGGACUACGAGCGCAAGCUUAAAACUCAAAGGAAUUGACGGGGAGCGCACAAGCAGAGGAGGAUGUGGUUUAAUUCGAUGCUAAGCGAUGAACCUUACCAAGGCUUGACAUUCUUGGAAUCCCUGCGAAAGCAGGGAGUGCCUUCGGGAAUCCAGUAACAGGUGCUGCAUGGCCGUCGU
rnacentral:rRNA from 1 species